GACGAACGCUGGCGGCGUGCCUAAUACAUGCAAGUCGAGCGAAGUUUUUCUGGUGCUUGCACUAGAAACACUUAGCGGCGAACGGGUGAGUAACACGUAAAGAACCUGCCUCAUAGACUGGGACAACUAUUGGAAACGAUAGCUAAUACCGGAUAACAGUAUUUCUCGCAUGUGAGAUAUUUAAAAGUUGGUUAUGCUAACACUAUGAGAUGGCUUUGCGGUGCAUUAGCUAGUUGGUGGGGUAAAGGCCCACCAAGGCGACGAUGCAUAGCCGACCUGAGAGGGUGAUCGGCCACACUGGGACUGAGACACGGCCCAGACUCCUACGGGAGGCAGCAGUAGGGAAUCUUCCGCAAUGGGCGAAAGCCUGACGGAGCAACGCCGCGUGAGUGAAGAAGGAUUUCGGUUCGUAAAGCUCUGUUGUUAGGGAAGAAUGGAUAUGUAGUAACUAUACAUGUAAGAGACGGUACCUAACCAGAAAGCCACGGCUAACUACGUG
rnacentral:rRNA from 1 species